AUAAGCUCAGAGUUCAUGGAUUUUGCUGACAUUUUUAACAGCGGCGUCCACUGAAGAUCAAUUUGCAGUGAAAGGAGCCUGGUUGCACUUCACGCCUCUGGAUAUCCGUUUGCAAAACGUCAACAUGGCACCGACCAAAUCGCGGCUCUUGAGGCUUCGAAACAGGAGUCGACGUCGGGACCAGUUGCCACUCGGCACGACGUUGGUAGUGUACAAGAGGGCAUUCACUUCAACCCGAAAGAACCACACCAGGAGCAUUAACACUC